GCCCUGGCCCUAGGCUCCUCUUGUCUGAGCCCCCAGAAAGAGGAACGAGCUGGGUCACAGAAGAGGGUCUAGGGGACAGAUU
rnacentral:pre_miRNA from 1 species